AAUCAACGCUGGCGGCGUGCCUCAGACAUGCAAGUCGAACGCGAAAGUCCCCUUCGGGGGACAAGUAGAGUGGCGCACGGGUGAGUAACACGUAGGUAAUCUACCUUUGGAUGGGGAAUAACAACCGGAAACGGUUGCUAAUACCGCAUAAUGCAGCGGCACCUAAUGGUGACAGUUGUUAAAGCGGGGAUCGAAAGACCUCGCGUCUGAAGAGGAGCCUGCGGCGGAUUAGCAGUUGGUAGGGUAACGGCUUACCAAGGCGACGAUCCGUAGCCGGCCUGAGAGGGCGGUCGGCCACACUGACACUGACAUACGGGUCAGACUCCUACGGGAGGCAGCAGUCGGGAAUUUUGGGCAAUGGGCGAAAGCCUGACCCAGCAACGCCGCGU
rnacentral:rRNA from 1 species